rnacentral:rRNA from 1 species
UACGUAGGAGGCAAGCGUUGUCCGGAAUACUGGGCGUAAAGCGCGUGUAGGUGGUGGGACAAGUCUGCUGUGAAAGCGCCUGGCUUAACCGGGCGAGGUCGGCGGAAACUGUCCGACUCGAGGACGGUAGAGGGGGUGGAAUUCCCGGUGUAGUGGUGAAAUGCGUAGAGAUCGGGAGGAACACCUGUGGCGAAGGCGGCCCC